UAACGACUCUCGGCAACGGAUAUCUCGGCUCUCGCAUCGAUGAAGAACGUAGCGAAAUGCGAUACGUGGUGUGAAUUGCAGGAUCCCGCGAACCAUCGAGUUUUUGAACGCAAGUUGCGCCCGAAGCCUUUAGGCCGAGGGCACGUCUGCCUGGGCGUCACGC
rnacentral:rRNA from 1 species